UAGUUGCCUUCCAAGCAGUUGAUCCGGGUUCGAUUCCCGGCCAUCGCA
rnacentral:tRNA from 1 species